rnacentral:rRNA from 1 species
GUGAGGAAUAUUGCGCAAUGGAGGCAACUCUGACGCAGCCAUGCCGCGUGCAGGAAGAAGGCGCUACGCGUUGUAAACUGCUUUUAACCGGGAAGAAACCCCAGGACGUGUCCUGGGUUGACGGUACCGGAGGAAUAAGCACCGGCUAACUUCGUGCCAGCAGCCGCGGUAAUACGAAGGGUGCAAGCGUUAUCCGGAUUCAUUGGGUUUAAAGGGUGCGUAGGCGGAGCGUUAAGUCAUUGGUGAAAUCCUGCAGCUUAACUGUAGACUUGCCAUUGAUACUGGCGCUCUUGAGUGCGCUUGAAGUGGGCGGAAUGUGCCGUGUAGCGGUGAAAUGCUUAGAUAUGGCACAGAACACCAAUUGCGAAGGCAGCUCACUAAGGCGAUACUGACGCUGAGGCACGAAAGCGUGGGGAUCGAACAGGAUUAGAUACCCGGGUAGUCC